AUAUCAAUAAGCGGAGGAAAGAAACCAACCGGAUUGCCUCAGUAACGGCGAGUGAAGCGGCAAGAGCUCAAAUUUGAAAUCUGGCCCCUCUGGGUCCGAGUUGUAAUUUGCAGAGGAUGCUUCGGGUGCGGUCCCCGUCUAAGUGCCCUGGAACGGCCCGUCAUAGAGGGUGAGGAUCCCGUCUGGGAUGGGCGCCGCGCCGUGUGAAGCUCCUUCGACGAGUCGAGUUGUUUGGGAAUGCAGCUCUAAGCGGGUGGUAAAUUUCAUCUAAAGCUAAAUACUGCCGGAGACCGAUAGCGCACAAGUAGAGUGAUCGAAAGAUGAAAAGCACUUUGAAAAGAGAGUUAAACAGCAC
rnacentral:rRNA from 1 species